rnacentral:rRNA from 1 species
AUUGAACGCUGGCGGCAUGCCUUACACAUGCAAGUCGAACGGCAGCACGGGAGCAAUCCUGGUGGCGAGUGGCGAACGGGUGAGUAAUAUAUCGGAACGUGCCCAGUCGUGGGGAUAACGUAGCGAAAGCUACGCUAAUACCGCAUACGAUCUAUGGAUGAAAGCGGGGGAUCGCAAGACCUCGCGCGAUUGGAGCGGCCGAUAUCAGAUUAGGUAGUUGGUGAGGUAAAGGCUCACCAAGCCGACGAUCCUUAGCUGGUCUGAGAGGAUGAUCAGCCACACUGGGACUGAGACACGGCCCAGACUCCUACGGGAGGCC